rnacentral:rRNA from 1 species
GACGAACGCUGGCGGCGUGCUUAACACAUGCAAGUCGAACGGAAAGGCCCUGCUUUUGUGGGGUGCUCGAGUGGCGAACGGGUGAGUAACACGUGAGUAACCUGCCCUUGACUUUGGGAUAACUUCAGGAAACUGGGGCUAAUACCGGAUAGGAGCUCCUGCUGCAUGGUGGGGUGUGGAAAGUUUCGGCGGUUGGGGAUGGACUCGCGGCUUAUCAGCUUGUUGGUGGGGUAGUGGCUUACCAAGGCUUUGACGGGUAGCCGGCCUGAGAGGGUGACCGGCCACAUUGGGACUGAGAUACGGCCCAGAAUCCUACGGGAGGCAGCAGUGGGGAAUAUUGCACAAUGGGCGGAAGCCUGAGGCAGCAACGCCGCGUGCGGGAUGACGGCCUUCGGGUUGUAAACCGCUUUCGCCUGUGACGAAGCGUGAGUGACGGUAAUGGGUAAAGAAGCACCGGCUAACUACGUG